rnacentral:misc_RNA from 1 species
AUGUACAUUUAACAUUUUAUUAAAAUAUUUAUACACAAGUAUUAAAUUAUCAUGCACAAGCAUAAACUGUAUUUUUUUCAAGUUGAACUGGGUGUUUUCCCCCCAGUAGCACAUGCAAGGGAAAAGCUUGCAAAGGAAAAGCAUCCAGAUGUAAAUGCUGGAGAUCCUGAAGCUCAGGUGAAGUUUCAAGAAGUUUCUGAAGCAUAUAAAGUUCUUGGUAAUGAAGCAAAACAGAAAGAAUACGAUCAGUGGGGUACCACUGAUGAAUUUGCUCGGCAUGGCUUCACUUCAGAUCUUGAUCCUGAGGAGUUAUUUAGGAAUAUGUUCCAGGGUUUCCAUGCAGGAUUUUCACAGUCCGAUUAUGCUGAAUCUGAGACUGGAUUUAGUUCAUAUGAAGUCAUGAUGAAUUUAACUUUUAAGGAAGCUACCCUAGGUGUAAAUAAAGAUGUUUCCCUGAACAUAUCAGAUACUUGUCCAGAUUGUAAUGGGCAACGUAGUAAGCCAGGGACAAAACCUGAAAAAUGUACAUUUUGUCAAGGCACUGGAAAGGAAUCAGUGUCUCUUGGCCCUUACACUAUGAGAUCUACAUGUCGUAAAUGUAAUGGUACUAAAGUUUUGAUCAAAGACCCUUGUACAGUUUGUAAUGGACAAGGUACAACAAUUCAGAAAAAGAAAGUGACUAUUCCUGUUCCUUCUGGUGUCAAAGAUGGUCAAAUGGUUCGAGUGCAAAUUACCAAAAAGAAAGAACUCUUUGUUACAUUUAAGGUUUCCAAAAGCAGGUACUUUAGAAGAGAUGGAGUUGAUGUUCAUUCUGAUGCUACCAUUAGUGUAUACCAAGCAUUAUUAGGUGGCACAGUUAGAAUUCGAGGACUAUAUGAGGAACUUGUUCUUAAGAUAGCUCCUUGUACUUCAUCACAUGCACGCAUAAAAUUAAAAGGGAAAGGAAUCAGACGUGUAAAUAGCUAUGGUUGUGGAGACCACUAUGCAACUAUCUGCUAAACAGAGAGCUGUUGUUGAAACAUUUCUUGCAGAGAAUGAAAACAGUACCCCUGGCACUACUGAAAUGUGAUGGAAUAAAAUGGGGGAGUUACAUGAUACUGUCUGCUUGGGGAGAACAACAGUAUGUCCAGUGCCAAGUUGUAAAGCUGUCUGGCAGUUAUGUUUAUCAGGGCUUUCUUUCUUAGUCAUGAUGCUCAAACUAAGUUUGAAAUUGUACAGAAAGAAAAAUUGUUAACUUACAAAAAAAAAAAAAAAAAAAAAAUUAUAUGCUUUUACUUUAAAUAAAAAUUUUAUAUUUAUUUUCUGACAACUGUUAAAACAUUUACAGAAAUAAAAUUUUAAGAAAUUAUUUUUUGUAUUAAUUUUGUAUCUAGUUGUACUUCAUGCACUAAUUAUUCUUUGUGGAAAAAUGUUUUUUUUUUUUUUUAUGAGUAAAUCCAUCUGCCAAGUUUUAGACUGUCAGUUUACUAGAAAAUUUGAUACAUACUUUCACUCUUUUUACCGAGCAUGUUAUUUUACUUUUACUCAUUCUAUUAACUAGUAACUUUUUCCCUUAUUUUGUUUCUUUAUGAUUUACUUAUGAGAAUAUAUUUGUUGUUUGUGUAUUUUUUCAUGUAUUUUCUUUAUGCAUUAAAGUUUCAGAAAGA